rnacentral:rRNA from 1 species
ACGCUCGACACCUACGGUAGGCAGCAGUGGGGAAUAUUGCACAAUGGGGGAAACCCUGAUGCAGCGACGCCGCGUGAAGGAAGAAGUAUCUCGGUAUGUAAACUUCUAUCAGCAGGGAAGAAAAUGACGGUAUCUGACUAAGAAGCCCCGGCUAACUACGUGCCAGCAGCCGCGGUAAUCUGAGCGGCUGGCAAGGC